rnacentral:rRNA from 1 species
AUGCCCUCUGAUUUUGAGAAUAGCGUGAAAGAAUUUAUGAUUUCUCAAAUGAAUUUUAAUGCUUUACUUGAAGAAAAAUUGCUCAAAGUUGAUGAUUUGGCUAGGAACGUUGAUAGACUUUCGCUUGAUGUUGAUUCUCUUAAACUUAGAUAUUCUCCUCCUAAGCAUGAUAUCAAUGAGUCUCUCAAAGCAAUGAGAAUUUCCAUUGAUGAGUGCAAGGAAAGAACCGCUAGAUUGCGCGCUAAGCAAGAUUGCUUUAUAAAGGCGUGUUCUUCUAGUUUCCAUGAAAAUAAUGAUGAAGAUUAUAAAGUUAUUGAUGCGUCUCCUAUUAGAUAUUUGUUUUGCAAUAUGAAUAUUGAUAAUAAUGGGACUGGAGAUGAGUCAACUUUACCUAGAAGGCGUCCCAAGAAUUCGGAGUUUUUAGAUCUUGAUGCUAAAUUUCGUAAAAGUGGGAUUGGAGAGGUCAUAACUUUAAAUAGCAUGGAACCCACUAUCUCGGAUUUCAAGGAAUUUGAUUAUGAUAAUUGUUCCUUAGAAGGUUGUAUUUCCUUGUUGCAAUCCGUUGUUAAUUCACCUCAUGCUUAUAGUCAAAAUAAAGCUUUUACCAAACAUAUCAUUGAUGCUUUGAUGCAAUCUUAUGAUGAAAAACUUAAUUUGGAAGUUUCUAUACCUAGAAAACUUAAUGAUGAGUGGGAACCUACUAUGAAGAUUAGAAUUAAAGAUCAUGAGUGUUUUGCUUUGUGUAAUUUGGGUGCUAGUGUUUCCACGAUUCCGAAAACUUUAUGUGAUAUUCUAGGUUUCCAUGAUCUUGAUGAUUGCUCUUUAAAUUUGCACCUUGCAGAUUCCACCAUUAAAAAGCCAAUGGGAAGGAUCAAUGAUGUUCUCAUUAUUGCAAAUAGAAAUUUGGUGCCCGUAUAUUUUAUCGUUCUUGAUAUAGAUUGCAAUCUUUCUUGCCCUAUUAUUCUUGGUAGACCUUUCCUUAGAACGAUUGGCACGAUUAUUAAUAUGAAGGAAGCGAAUAUUAGAUUCCAAUUUCCAUUAAAGAAAGGGAUGGAGCACUUUACAAUAAAGAAAGUCAAAUUACCUUAUGAAUCUAUCAUGCGGGCUACUUAUGAAUUGAGUGCCAAAGAUGACACUACUUAG